GAGGGUGUAGCUCGGUGGUAGAGUGCCUGCCUAGUGAGCACGAGGUCCUGGGUUCAAUCCUCAGCACCUCCA
rnacentral:tRNA from 1 species